rnacentral:rRNA from 1 species
UACGAAGGGUGCAAGCGUUACUCGGAAUUACUGGGCGUAAAGCGUGCGCAGGCGGUGAUGUAAGACAGGUGUGAAAUCCCCGGGCUUAACCUGGGAACUGCAUUUGUGACUGCAUCGCUGGAGUGCGGCAGAGGGGGAUGGAAUUCCGCGUGUAGCAGUGAAAUGCGUAGAUAUGCGGAGGAACACCGAUGGCGAAGGCAAUCCCCUGGACCUGUACUGACGCUCAUGCACGAAAGCGUGGGGAGCAAACAGG